CCUUGUACACACCGCCCGUCAAACCAUGAGAGUUGGCAACACCCGAAGUCGGUAGUCUAACCGCAAGGAGGACGCCGCCGAAGGGUGGGGGUUGAUGAUUAGGGGUUAAGUCGUAACAAGGUAAC
rnacentral:rRNA from 1 species